UAUGGCCAUAUCACAUUGAAACACCAGUUAUCAUAUGAUCACCGAAGUUAAGCAACAUUGAUCCUGGUCAGUAUCUAGAUGGGAGACUGCUUUGGAAUACCAGGUGCUGUAAU